GAUGAACGCUAGCGACAGGCUUAACACAUGCAAGUCGAGGGGCAGCGCGGGGGUAGCAAUACCUCUGGCGGCGACCGGCGCACUGGUGAGUAACACGUAUGCGACCUGCCCCGGACAGGGGGAUAAACCCGGGAAACUGGGUCUAAUACCCCAUAUAUAUUUAGAUGGCAUCAGAAGAGUAUGAAAGAUUUAUCGGUAAGGGAUGGCGAUGCGUAGGAUUAGGUAGUCGGCGGGGUAACGGCCCACCGAGCCUACGAUCCUUAGGGGUUCUGAGAGGAAGGUCCCCCACAUUGGAACUGAGACACGGUCCAAACUCC
rnacentral:rRNA from 1 species